CGUCCUGUAGCUCAGUGGUUAGAGCUCUCGCCUCAUUAAGGGAGAGACCUGGGUUCGAUUCCCUGCAGGGCGA